UACGUAGGGUGCAAGCGUUGUCCGGAAUUAUUGGGCGUAAAGAGCUCGUAGGCGGUCUGUCGCGUCGGCUGUGAAAUCCCCGAGGCUCAACCUCGGGUCUGCAGUCGAUACGGGCAAACUAGAGUAUUGCAGGGGAGACUGGAAUUCCUGGUGUAGCGGUGAAAUGCGCAGAUAUCAGGAGGAACACCGGUGGCGAAGGCGGGUCUCUGGGCAAUAACUGACGCUGAGGAGCGAAAAGCGUGGGGGAGC
rnacentral:rRNA from 1 species